rnacentral:rRNA from 1 species
UACGAGCGGCCCAAACGUUCUUCGGAAUUACUGGGCUUAAAGAGUUCGUAGGCGGCGCAGAAAGUAGGGUGUGAAAGCCCUCGGCUCAACCGAGGAAUUGCGCUCUAAACUACUGUGCUUGAGGAAGCUAGAGGUGAGCGGAACUGAUGGUGGAGCGGUGAAAUGCGUUGAUAUUGGGAAGAACACCUGAGGCGAAGGCGGGUUGCUGGGCUGACACUGACGCUGAGGCGCGAAAGCCAGGGGAGCGAACGGG